UAGGGAAUCUUCGGCAAUGGACGAAAGUCUGACCGAGCAACGCCGCGUGAGUGAAGAAGGUUUUCGGAUCGUAAAACUCUGUUGUUAGAGAAGAACAAGGACGUUAGUAACUGAACGUCCCCUGACGGUAUCUAACCAGAAAGCCACGGCUAACUACGUGCCAGCAGCCGCGGUAAUACGUAGGGCGCGAGCGUUGUCCGGAAUUAUUGGGCGUAAAGGGCUUGUAGGCGGCUUGUUGCGCCUGCUGUGAAAACGCGGGGCUUAACUUCGCGCGUGCAGUGGGUACGGGCAGGGUUGAGUGGGGUAGGGGUGACUGGAAUUCCAGGUGUAGCGGUGGAAUGCGCAGAUAUCUGGAGGAACACCGAUGGCGAAGGCAGGUCACUGGGCCAUUACUGACGCUGAGGAGCGAAAGCAUGGGUAGCGAACAGG
rnacentral:rRNA from 1 species